UGUUUUCCAUAACAUUCAGAGGCGAGAGAAUAAUCUACCGUUCUUCAAUUUCCAAUAUCAGGUGUGUGAACUUCAGGUGUCAAAAAACAUGCAAAAAGUGAGUAAGUUCAUUGUGCACAAUGUGCACGUGCCACGCGCGAUACGUGACAUCAAAUUUCACGCAAAGUGCUUUGCCACAUGUUUAUUUGUGGUUAUUUUUAUAACUUUUCAAAUAACUUUUAUUUUAUGCAAUUUAAUGUUUUGCACAGUCACUUUUUUCCGUUAGUAUACACAAUACUUUACAUUAACAUAA